CAUAAAUAAAAAAAACUGUUAGCUUGCUAACUUCAGGUAAUGUCUAACGUUAAUUUCCUUUCACUUCUGCCCACUCUCACCAUCACAACUUCAUUUGCAGCUAACUGGUAUAUUGACAUGCCUCUCCUCUCACAGGCUUUGCGUUGACACAAAUAUGGUGAAGAUCUUUAUUGGAAACCUCCCUAACGAGGUCGAGAAGGAUGAGCUCGAGGCUCUGUUUACUCAACAUGGUGCAGUGACAGAAUGUGCAAAGUUCAAAAACUAUGCCUUCGUCCACAUGGAUGACCGUAAGUCUGCCACCGAAGGCAUCCGCAGCCUGCACCUCUUAAAGCUUCAUGGCAGGCCAAUCAAUGUGAAGCCAAGCAGGGGAAAGAAUCAGGGUCCGGUGAAACUUCACGUGGCUAACGUGGAGAAAGGGGAAGAAGAUGCGCUCCGCACCUUGUUUGAGGAGUAUAGCACAGUCACAGAAUGUGCUGUUGUCAAAAACUUUGCUUUUGUCCACAUGUCCAACUCUGAUGAGGCCAUGGAUGCCACAGAGGGAUUAGACAACUCUGACUACCAAGGUAAGAAACAAAGACCCUAAUUUAAUAUUCACUAUUAAACGGUUGGGAAGUCCCAAUGUUAAAUAUGAACUUUAGUUUUGUGUGUCACUGUCUGACUGGUAAUCAUGGUUUUCCUCUUUAGGCAGACAUCUUCACGUUCAGAUAUCAAAAAGACGUCCCAGACGGGAGGAAGGGGAUUAAAAUAAUGGCGCAUACUGGCCAGCACCUCACGGCUACCCUGUUGACAGGGGGAGCCGGAACACCCUCAUUACAGAGGUUGCAUGUCAGGGGGGUACCCUGGCCUCCCUUCACCCCCUCCCCCUAGACGAGCCCCAUACCCCCCAGAGCGUGCUUAUGAGCGUGGUAGAUUACUAUGAGAAGUACAGAGCUCGCCCUGCCCUUUACGGUUGCUUCUCAGGCUAUGGAGAUGAGAGGCGAGUUGGCGCCAUACCCCCACCACCACCCCCUUCUGCCAUGGUUAGGGCGCGCCUUUCGGCCUUCUCUCUCGCCCGGUAAGAGCGUCACCUACCUCCCACCUCUGUCCUCCUACUACGCCAUGACCACAGUCCCAUCAGGAGACCAUCUCCUCCCUCCAUGCCCCGCAUGGGUAACGGCUACUCCUAUGAGCGCUUCCAGCUCUCUCCUCUGUCCAGGCCUGCAAUGUACAACCUACCACGUUCCAGGGACCCCUACGCUGACAGGGUCCCUCCACUGCCUCCUGCACGCUACUCUUACUGAACGCACACUGGCGUUUGACUCAAGUCCUCUAGGCCUCGUGUUCUUUCCUUGCACAAGAGGUUGGUACGGAAGUGGAAUUCUGCUCAAAGGUAUUGUGAAAUUAUUUGAAGUGGAAUUGUGAAAUUGUGUAGGUGUCGAUAAUGAAAAUAUUAGAUUAAGUCUGGUCGUUUAUACUAAAUGUCGGAUUUAUUUUUUAAUUGUAUGGACACAUUUUCCCCUGCUUAGUAGACCCUUUAUAAUUAAACUUGUCUCCAUCCUAUUUCUCCCAUCUCUUCCACUCUAGGCCAAUUUAAAGGCAAUGCUACCAAAUACUAAUUGAGUGUAUGUAAACUUCUGACCCACUGGGAAUGUGAUGAAGGAAGUAAAAGCUGAAAUAUAUCAUUCUCUCAACUAUUAUUCUGACAUUUCACAUUCUUAAAAUAAAAUGGUGAUCCUAGCUGACCUAAAACAGGGAUUUUUUUACUAGGAUUAAAUGUCAGGAAUUGUGAAACUGAGUUUAAAUGUAUUUGGCUAAGGUGUAUGUAAACUUCUGACUUCAACUGUACAUAUCAUAGAGAUACUUGGAGAUAGCCCUACGGGACCAUGGAUUGUGCUGUUUUGAGCUUAUUGGUCAUGCUCCUGUCUGGGGUGUGGCAUAGUGUUUCUCCUUCUGAAGCCACAUUGGUUGAGUGUGGCACUGGGAAGACUUGCACUGUGGCCCUACUUAGCCUUAACCCUGCCACUCUGGUCUGCCCUGGUUCCUCCCUACACCCUUUGAUCAAGUGGACCAUCCAGGGAAUCUUGGACACAGGCUACAGCUCAUCUCCAAUAGUGAUCCAGACCAGUAGAGCCCCCCUGGUGGGGGCCUUCUGCUGAAGGCUGACACCACCAACUGUGAAAGAGUGAAUCUCCCCUAGUGUUAACUGCUGUGUACUUGGAGCACUCCGAAACCAACAGGCAAAGGUUUGGCUUGGGUCUGCAGAGAGCUCCAAGCAGGCAAAGAAGGAACAUCAAUCUAUGGAGAGUUCUGUGACUAUACUCCAAUAUCCAAUACAGAGCUCUGGUCAGGAUAGAACCAGGUGGUGUAAAGGUUUUUCAAUCAUCCCUUAUGGUGGCCAGCCCAACUCGCCCUCAGGCUCCUGCCUCCGCCUUUGAGACACAGGACUUACCUCACAUCUAAACUCAGCAUGCUCGCCAGUGAACCUCCUGCCUCUUUCUGCCCAUGUGCAACCUUUAACCUCUGACCACAUCAGACCAGCGACCCUCUGGCACAGUUUUCGACUGAUAAUGACCUCCAGUCACGCCUCAGAGGUGGAGAGCAUAACCUUGUCUUCGCUGACACCUGGGUCUGGACUCUAUACCUGCCAGGUGCGGGAUGUGACCCUGGCUCAGUUUGAGGUGCAGGAUGUUUAGUGAAGUGCAGAUAUCACACGCAUCCCACCACGGGCUAUUGCCCAGGGAAAACUUAAGUGAGGCUGGGGGAGGUGUUCACAGUAUGGGGUGCGUGGCAGGGUUGAAAUUGCUGUGGGGAACUUGGAGAGAGGAAGAGGAUUGGGUGAGUGUAGUUACAUUGGAGACAUAUCCUUACUUAUAUUUAAGCAACAUUUUCACACUGUGUCCCAUUGCCUGCCAUCAAUGCAUGACAAAGUGAAAGUUUGACCUGUGUGAGUAGAUUUGCCUCAGAGGCAGCAAACUACUACAGGUUUAAGUUUUUCUAUCUGUAACAGUGAGAGGUGUGGUGUCAUUACAGCCACUAGAAGUGCUGUUUCCUAACUUCCUUUGUUCUACUUAGGUUGUGCUAUGCACAGGUCCUCAAUGUGAGCACAGGAGAGGGGAUCCCGGGUGCGGCCCUUGGGUCUGGGGUGGUUCAGAGAUGACUAGAGUAAUUACAAGGUUUCUCCAUUGUCCUGGGCCAAGAGGUCAUCAUAGAAACAUGUUGCCAGGACUGUCCGACCUCUUGUCUGCAUGACUAGGAUGACAUUCCCACUCCGCGGAGCCUCCAUCGGUCACUCCUGAAGCCUGUUGACAUCACAGCCUCCUUGGAUACUGUGCUACUGUGCUGCUGUGUCCCUCUGUCUCUGUGUACAGGUGAGCUGAUGCCCAUUUCCACUUCAGGGGCUC
rnacentral:lncRNA from 1 species